rnacentral:rRNA from 1 species
AAGGAAUAUUGGUCAAUGGACGCAAGUCUGAACCAGCCAUGCCGCGUGGAGGAUGAAGGUCCUCUGGAUCGUAAACUUCUUUUAUCUGGGAAGAAACCCAUAUUUUCUAGUGUGGUUGACGGUACCAGAUGAAUAAGCACCGGCUAACUCCGUGCCAGCAGCCGCGGUAAUACGGGGGGGGCAAGCGUUGUUCGGAAUUACUGGGCGUAAAGGGCUCGUAGGCGGCCAACUAAGUCAGACGUGAAAUCCCUCGGCUUAACCGGGGAACUGCGUCUGAUACUGGAUGGCUUGAGGUUGGGAGAGGGAUGCGGAAUUCCAGGUGUAGCGGUGAAAUGCGUAGAUAUCUGGAGGAACACCGGUGGCGAAGGCGGCAUCCUGGACCAAUUCUGACGCUGAGGAGCGAAAGCCAGGGGAGCAAAC